rnacentral:tRNA from 1 species
GCGGUGGUAGCUCAAUCGGCAGAGCACCUGGUUGUGGUCCAGGAGGUAGUCGGGUUCGAAUCCCACCCAUCGCCCCA